UAAAUAUACACAAACCUCAUAGCCAUCUCUAUACAAUCCAAUCAUCUUCCUCAUUUUCUUCAUUCAUUCAUGGCCAAGACCCUCCUCUCAGUUCUCUUCUUCAUCACCUUCAUCCUGCUCUCUUCCUACAUACAAGCCCGCCCCAUAUAUGACCACAGCGCCAUGAUGAAGUCAGUUCCUGGCCUAAUGGAGAGGGCCAACCGGUAUGUUGAAGUGCUUGGCCUCUGGGGGAUCAAGAACUCUGGCCCCAGUCCUGGGGAGGGCCACUCUUUUGUUAAUGGUGCACACAAUUAAUGGGACUCCAGCUUUGCUCUCGAUGCUUUAGGAAUUCAAAGAGGAAUCCCCACAUGUUGGGAUGCUAUAUGCCAUGUGUUGGAUCAAUGGGGCCCUUGAGUUUCUGGAGUGAGCUCAAUAAUUUUCUUUCAAUGUAAGAUAAAAGUCAUGCUGCUGCUCCCAUAAAUACAGAGGUACAAUUGUAUCUUUCUGUGUAAAAUUAGGAAUUCAGUUAUUAGAAUUGAACGAAAAAAAUAACAGGUAUGACUCAGUCAAUUCUUUUCAUUGUCAUGCUUGUUUGAUUCUCAAUGGACUGAUUCAGAAACCUCCUAGUGCUACAGUUUUAUCUGGUCCCCAUCA